UCCUCUGUCUGCUAGUCUUCUUUGAUCCUUGAAUUUUGUGGAGCUCAAAUAGACAACAAAGCUUUGUGGAACUGGUUAAGUGUUAGCAUAAAAAUCUAGCCUUUAUCAUGUUGAGCUUCCUCUAAUAUUACUCUCUUUGGUAGGAUCAUAAAUUUAUUUUUAUAUUUUUAUUUUUAUAGGACAGAAAUAUAUUUAUUUUUAUGCCACCACAGUGAAUGUACUUAUGGGUUUUAUGCCACGAGCAUACUCACAUGGGGCUUACAAUUUUAUGAUGCAGUGCAAUGAACAAAUAUUUUUCUUUUCUUUUCUAAUGCUAAUGUAGAAAAGUAAAUAUGCUAAUGCGAGUGAUGGAAUAAAAUAAAAAAAGGAAUGCAGAAAAGAUAAAUAUGGAUAAAUAUCGAUUUUACCUUCCGGCAAGGAUCCAAUGUUUUAAGUCUUCUGGACAAGACUUCUCACCGUGUUCAUUCUUUGGGUGUGUCAUUUGAUUCACGUGCGGACCUUGACGUCUGCACCUCUUGAUACGGUGUCACCCAUGUUCUUCGUUUGCCCAGCAGUUCAAAGUCCGGCGUUGGCAGUAUCUUGCUCAGUGUGUUUGUGCUCGUAGUGUACCUGCUCAUAGAGACAAGGCAGAGAUCAAGUGCAUGGGCCCUGUUGGUGGAAAACACCAACAGAACCAAAAGUGUAUUUGUUCUUCUCUAACCUUAAGCAUGGUGAGCAAGACAAAGUUAAUGAAUGAUAAGUUCAUGAGUGUAGCAUUUAAAACAUUUGCCGGAUCAGAUCGCUCAACCUAAUGGAAAGAUAAUCUAUCUAUAUAUAUGUCUUUUUCUUUAUAUCUUCUCAAAGAUUAAAUGUGCAACAUUUUAGCUCAUAUGACUAGGAGUGUGGGGAUCAAAGAUUAAGGGACUAAACAUACUGAAUCAGUGGGGUUGGUUAAUUUGGAGUUAUAAAUUAUUCAUGUUUGUCUCUUUUAUUCAUAUGAACGCCAGAACCAAGGAGAAGCUUAUAAAAGUGACAGUCAAGUACCUUAAGGUGUUACCUUAAUUGAAGAGUGAUGGUACAGUCUCACCUUGUGCAAGCUUUCCUUUCUUAGCGGUUGUGCAUCGUGUUUGUAGCACUCUCCAUGGAUCAUCUCUUAUGAGCUACGUCUUCCUUGUGUAAAUUGUUAAACUUCAUGUGUCUCUCUCUUUGUCUCUGAUGUGAGUUUAUCUCAGGACUUCCCAGCUCGAUAUUGAAAGUUUUCCUGCAGGGGUUAGUCCAACAAAAUAUCCAAUAUCUACUAUAGCAUACUAUCGGCUCAAAAAUCAACCUAGACACCAUGU
rnacentral:lncRNA from 1 species